rnacentral:rRNA from 1 species
UACGGGGGGAGCAAGCGUUGUUCGGAUUUACUGGGCGUAAGGGGAGCGUAGGCGGGUCGUCAAGUUGGGGGUGAAAGCCCAGGGCUCAACCUUGGAAUUGCCUUCAAAACUGACGAUCUAGAGUAUGGAAGAGGUAAGUGGAACUCCGAGUGUAGAGGUGAAAUUCGUAGAUAUUCGGAAGAACACCAGUGGCGAAGGCGACUUACUGGUCCAUGACUGACGCUGAGGCUCGAAAGCGUGGGGAGCAAACAGG